GAUGAACGCUGGCGGCGUGCUUAACACAUGCAAGUCGAACGGAGUAUGAAUUUGGAUUUCUCACGAUUGAAGAGUUCAUACUUAGUGGCGGACGGGUGAGUAACGCGUGGAUAACCUGCCCCAUACCGGGGGAUAACAGCCGGAAACGGCUGCUAAUACCGCAUAAGCGCACGAGGCUGCAUGGCCCUGUGUGAAAAACUCCGGUGGUAUGGGAUGGAUCCGCGUCUGAUUAGCUAGUUGGUGAGAUAAAAGCCCACCAAGGCGACGAUCAGUAGCCGACCUGAGAGGGUGGCCGGCCACAUUGGGACUGAGACACGGCCCAG
rnacentral:rRNA from 1 species